ensembl:lncRNA
CACCAGCGUUUUCUCUCCUCUGUUUGAACAAGGCCCUCCUGAAAGACCAUCCCUUUCACCGGCGGCUUUGUGCAGCUGAGGAUCUCAGGAGGCAGGUCCUGAACUCCACUGCCAAGCCUUGAACGCUGACCGAACAUCCUGGGGGUCCCACGUGCCACCAGAACCUGCGGGCGCUGGUCCUGUCCGGGAAGCCUGCCGGGUUUCCCCGCAGGCCUCGUGGUACCAGUGGCAGAGUCGGUGUGAAGAGAGGGGCACAGGUUACGCUGCAACAAAGGCCGGGUCUUUCCUGGCUGGGUGACAUGGGGCAGGAUGGGACUGCCCUGCCAUGGUGAUGCUUGCUGCUGGGAGCAACAUGGCCUGCACAGGGGGCUCCCACGCCUGCCUGCCUGCCUCUCAGCACCUGUAAAACAGGGAGUGGGCCUGAGCCACAGUAGGUUAGGGGGCAGCGGGAUCUUCCAGGCCCACCUGGCCUGGCUGCUACAUGACAGAGGCUGGUAUGAAGCCUGGCUUCUCCCAGAGGGCUGGCCCUGCCUGGGAAUGUGCCAGGCUGACCCUCAGGGGACUCACCUGACUUCAGUGAUACCGCUUGCUGCCACCAUCUCCACCAUUGCCGGCGCCGGUCAGAACCCUACGGGCACAUGAACGUGGCACAGUGACAGGGCUUGCGCAGCAGCCCUAACCCCCCACCCCAAAGCCCUGAGUGACCCGGCCUCAAGCAACUCCCAUCCUCAAAUUUCCCUACCUGUCGGCGCCAGAAAGCGGUGAGCAGAGACACCCCAGCCACCAAGAGCAGGAGGCUGGGGACAAGGAGAACGCUGUCGACAACCAUCGCUCAAAGCCGGUCACGACCGCACUGGGAGAGACAAAGUGCUGGCCGCUGGCUUACAUGGGCAGAGCCAUGAGGUCAUAGUCCGGCAGGUGGGGAUCACUCUGUGAGGUCACAGCCCCACAGCCCACAUGGAAGUAGGCUGGCAGUAGCCCCCAGCAUGGGGAUGGAAGGUGUUAUGCACAUAACUUGAGUAGAAUCAAAAAAUACAUCACAUUGGAGUUUUGACAACAAGUGAACACAUGUACCAGUUUGGGGACCAUCCCCGAGAUGUGCUGCUGCCAUCCUUACUUGCAUUAAGUAACUCCGCCUUCUCUGUAUCCUCUGUUACCAGGGCACCCACCUCAUUCAUUAACAGGCCUGCAUUGCCUCUAGUGUUAGUUUUGUUUGCAGCAUAUUUGAAAAAGCCCCUUCUGUUGUCCUUGACCUCUUUUGCCAGGUUAAACUCUAUGAAGGCCUUAGCUUUCCUAGUUCAUAGAAUCAUAGAAUCACCAACAUUGGAAAAGACCCACAGGAUCACCUAGUCCAACCAUCCCCCCAUCACCAAUAGUUCUCACUCAACCAUGACCCUCAAUAGAACGUCCAAAUGCUCCUUGAACACCUCCAGUUUCGAUGACUCCACCACCUCCCUGGGCAACCCAUUCCAGUGCCUGACCACUCUUUCAGAGAAGUAGUAUUUCCUAAUGUCCAGU